GUCGGGAGUCUUGCACAAUGGGGGAAACCCUGAUGCAGCGACGUCGCGUGUGGGAUGAAGUAUUUCGGUAUGUAAACCACUUUUGCGGGGGGCGAAAAAAAUGACGGUACCCCGCGAAUAAGCCCCGGCUAACUACGUGCCAGCAGCCGCGGUAAUACGUAGGGGGCGAGCGUUGCUCGGAUUGACUGGGCGUAAAGCGCGCGUAGGCGGUCCAUUAAGUGUGCGGUGAAAUUCGGAGGCUCAACCUCCGUCCCGCCGCGCAAACUGAUGGUCUUGAGAUUGGGAGGGGGAUGCGGAAUUCCUGGUGUAGCGGUGAAAUGCAUUGAUAUCAGGAGGAACACCGGCGGCGAAAGCGGCAUCCUGGCUUAUAUCUGACGCUGAGGCGCGAAAGCGUGGGUAGCAAACGGGAUUAGAAACCCCAGUAGUCC
rnacentral:rRNA from 1 species